ACACACCGCCCGUCACACCAUGGAGCCGGUAAUACCCGAAGUCAGUAGUCCAACCACGUGAGGACGCUGCCGAAGGUAGGAUUGGCGACUGGGGUGAAGUCGUAACAAGGUAAC
rnacentral:rRNA from 1 species